UACGUAGGGGGCAAGCGUUGUCCGGAUUUACUGGGCGUAAAGAGCGCGUAGGCGGAGAUCUAAGCGUGGCCUGAAAGCCCCCGGCUCAACCGGGGAGUGCGGCUGCGAACUGGGUUUCUUGAGGACGAUAGAGGAGAGUGGAAUUCCUGGUGUAGCGGUGAAAUGCGUAGAUAUCGGGAGGAACACCCGAGGCGAAGGCGGCUCUCUGGGUCGUACCUGACGCUGAGGAGCGAAAGCAUGGGGAGCGAACAGG
rnacentral:rRNA from 1 species